UAAAAAGAUAGUCUACGAAGGCGGGCGCCACCCCCGGGAAAACAGCCACGACCAGUCGAAACGACGAACGCCGUGCUUGAGCCAUGUUACUGGUUGCAUGGCGUCCGUCGCUCGACCGGCGCGACCGGCCGCGACCGCCGCGACCACCGCUCCCCAAGACGGCACCAACCCGCACACGCGAACGGCACCGUCCUCCCAAACCAUCCCCUCAAUAAACUGUCUGCACACUCCCAACCGCAACCGCAACUACGUUGUGCGUCUGCCCUAUUUCUGAUACCGUGGCGGCAGAAAUCCUGCCAUGGCGGGCCGCCACUACAGAAUCCACAUAGAGGAAACGCUGGGCUCAGAAGUGUUUUCAAAUUUCUCCGGUUUAGAGGCUCUGAAACACCAGAGUCGUGUGAAUGCGAGAUGUAAACGUAGCAAAAGAUAUGUAAAUGUAGCCCGAGACCUUCAAAAAAGUGGUCUCGAGACGAAGACCGAUCUCGAGUAUAACACUAAACUGGCUAAACUCUUCCAACACAUACCAGUUGUUGUAAAAACCUGUUGCCUUCCCCACGGUGUGUCCGUCCUUGCCUGUUCGGAGGUGUUUUUGUGUUGUGUCUCUUCUCACACAGGAAACCCAGCCUGAACGGUCAGGAUGUGAAGAGGUUUGUGUCGGUGCACCCAGGGGACUCUGCCGACGGAGAGACGUUCCCUCUCACACUUUGAAAAGUUACAAGUAUGCUGGUUUAUACUCCUUUCACUGUUGAGGUUGAUUUAUGACAAUUAUGCUACAGGAAAGGCCACGAUCAGAGGCCGCAAUCAUCCGCCAUCGGUGACUUUUUCUUUUGAGUCCGACUGCUUUUCUUUUCCAGGCCCCUCUGUGUGUAAUGGCUUCCAUACCGAGGAGCUAUUUCUUUUACGAUCCUAGAGUGGGAUUAAUGGUUGCCAGUGGAGGCAAAUGGCCAUCCAGGGAGUUACCUGUCAGGACCCUGCAGUGCGCUGGCUUCUCCACGGGCCGAUGGAUGUUACACAACAGCGGGAGACGUCACCUUGGAGGAAUGUGGGAAAUGAGAGGGGGGCGGAUCAGAGGAUGAAGGAGGAGAGAUGAGGGAGCAGAGUGCUUCACUGACUCUUACGGUACCUUGACAUGAGUCACAGGGAGCUAAAAUGGGUCAAUUGACCAGAAGAAAUCAUGAUCCAGUUACAAUGUGCGGACUGAAAACAACUGUCUCAGGUGCCUUACAGGUUUAUAUGUACAAGUGUGUUUACUACAUUAUACACUAAACACGUAAUUACACAUUAUGCUAUGUACUUUUCUAAAUGGUGUGUGCACACCUGUUAUAAUUUGGGGGAAUGCAGGGAGAGCCUGGUCCAGACCUCUGAAUAUCUUGCCACAUCUUUGAUAUCUUCAGCAAAUCAAAUAAGUCUGGUGUCAUGCUUAUUACCUUACGUUUUCGGUUCGGUGUGUCCGAUAGGUCGUUUGUUGGUUUGAUUGUCUGUCACUAGGAUUACGGGAAAAAAACUACUCGCCUGAUUUAACGACACUUGGUAGAUGGGUUUAGCAUGGACCAAUGAAGAACCCAUUGGAUUUUAAAGCGGAUACGAACCACAGCCAAACAAACACAGGACUUUUGCCAGUGU